UGACGUUACUCACAGAAGAAGCACCGGCUAACUCCGUGCCAGCAGCCGCGGUAAUACGGAGGGUGCGAGCGUUAAUCGGAAUUACUGGGCGUAAAGCGUACGCAGGCGGUUUGUUAAGCGAGAUGUGAAAGCCCCGGGCUCAACCUGGGAACUGCAUUUCGAACUGGCAAACUAGAGUGUGAUAGAGGGUGGUAGAAUUUCAGGUGUAGCGGUGAAAUGCGUAGAGAUCUGAAGGAAUACCGAUGGCGAAGGCAGCCACCUGGGUCAACACUGACGCUCAUGUACGAAAGCGUGGGGAGCAAACGGGAUUAGAUACCCCGGUAGUCCACGCCGUAAACGAUGUCUACUAGCCGUUGGGGUCCUUGAGACUUUAGUGGCGCAGCUAACGCACUAAGUAGACCGCCUGGGGAGUACGGUCGCAAGAUUAAAACUCAAAGGAAUUGACGGGGGCCCGCACAAGCGGUGGAGCAUGUGGUUUAAUUCGACGCAACGCGCAGAACCUUACCAGCGUUUGACAUCCUGAUCGCGGAUUCCAGAGAUGGUUUCCUUCAGCUCGGCUGGAUCAGUGACAGGUGCUGCAUGGCUGUCGUCAGCUCGUGUUGUGAAAUGUUGGGUUAAGUCCCGUAACGAGCGCAACCCUUGUCCUUAGUUACUAACAUUAAGUUGAGAACUCUAAGGAGACUGCCGGUGACAAACCGGAGGAAGGCG
rnacentral:rRNA from 14 species